CACGUAGGGCGCAAGCGUUGUCCGGAAUUAUUGGGCGUAAAGAGCUCGUAGGCGGUCUGUCGCGUCUGAUGUGAAAACCCAGGGCUCAACCCUGGGCCUGCAUUCGAUACGGGCAGACUAGAGUUCGGUAGGGGAGACGGGAAUUCCUGGUGUAGCGGUGAAAUGCGCAGAUAUGAGGAGGAACACCGGUGGCGAAGGCGGGUCUCUGGGCAAUAACUGACGCUGAGGAGCGAGAGCGUGGGGAGCGAACAGG
rnacentral:rRNA from 1 species